rnacentral:rRNA from 1 species
AUGGGUGACAGUGACACUGAAAACUCCUCUGGAAGUGCAUCAUAUCAAGUUGUUCCUUACAAGAAUGUCCAGGGAGAAAACAACUUACCUGUGCUGUCUAAAAAAAGAAAAUUCAUUAUCAGUACAUAUUCUGUGCAAUGUAGUACUUGCCAGAAAUGGAGAGUUGUACCAUCCAAACUGAAAUAUGAGCAAACCCGAGAGAAUAUUAUACAAGUUCCUUUUUCUUGCAAAUAUGUCCAUGGGUGGAAGCCACAAGUUACAUGCCAUGAUCCAACUGAUAUAUCUGAGGAUAAUGGCAUGGCAUGGGCAAUUGAUAUCCCAUGCAUCCCUCAGACCCCUCUUGGGUGGGAAAGGAAUAUUACUCUAAGGAAUGAACAGAGCACGAGAUUCGCUGAUGUGUACUAUAUCUCUCCCGCAGGCAGAAAAGUAAGAUCCAUGAAAGAUGUCGAAAGGUAUCUUGAAGACAACCCAGACUAUGCUGCCCGCUUACAGUUAUCUCAGUUUUCGUUCAGGGUACCUAAACCUCCAAAUUGCCCUCGUCAGUCAGACCUUAUUGAACCAACUGAAGUGCCACCUCCGGUUCACGAGGAUCCCGUGCACAACUACAUGCCGGUCCCUCAUGGAGAAGCCAAUCAUUUAACUCAUAUACCAGUUAUACUAGCUCUACAAGUACCAGUGAUGCUCUCCAAAAAGAGAAAACUAAACCAGUGA